rnacentral:rRNA from 1 species
UGAGGAAUAUUGGUCAAUGGGCGAGAGCCUGAACCAGCCAAGUAGCGUGAAGGAUGACUGCCCUAUGGGUUGUAAACUUCUUUUAUAAAGGAAUAAAGUCGGGUAUGUAUACCCGUUUGCAUGUACUUUAUGAAUAAGGAUCGGCUAACUCCGUGCCAGCAGCCGCGGUAAUACGGAGGAUCCGAGCGUUAUCCGGAUUUAUUGGGUUUAAAGGGAGCGUAGAUGGAUGUUUAAGUCAGUUGUGAAAGUUUGCGGCUCAACCGUAAAAUUGCAGUUGAUACUGGAUAUCUUGAGUGCAGUUGAGGCAGGCGGAAUUCGUGGUGUAGCGGUGAAAUGCUUAGAUAUCACGAAGAACUCCGAUUGCGAAGGCAG